rnacentral:rRNA from 1 species
CGGACGGGUGAGUAACGCGUGAGUAACCUGCCUUACACAAGGGGAUAGCCGUUGGAAACGACGAAUAAUACCCUAUGACAUAAACUCUUCGCANGAGGAGCUUAUCAAAGAUUUAUCGGUGUAAGAUGGACUCGCGUCUGAUUAGCUAGUUGGUGAGGUAACGGCCCACCAAGGCGACGAUCAGUAGCCGGCUUGAGAGAGUGUACGGCCACAUUGGGACUGAGACACGGCCCAGACUCCUACGGGAGGCAGCAGUG